UUUCCGUAGGUGAACCUGCGGAAGGAUCAUCAACAAAACAAUUCAAAAAAAACACCAAUUUCAUUCCAAAUUUAUUGGAAUGUUUUUUUAAUGGGGAUGUGGAGAUUAAUUAAAAAAAAUUUCUCAUGCCCCAUCAUUUAAAAACUAAAACUCCUAAAUUUGAAAAAAGAAAAUUCUAAAAAAUUUUAAAAUAUAAAAUAGAGACAACUUUUAACAAUGGAUCUCUUGGCUCUC
rnacentral:misc_RNA from 1 species